AUCAGACACGGUGUCAGCCGCCGCGGUAAUACGAAGGGUGCAAGCGUUACUCGGAAUUACUGGGCGUAAAGCGUGCGUAGGUGGUUGUUUAAGUCUGUUGUGAAAGCCCUGGGCUCAACCUGGGAAUUGCAGUGGAUACUGGGCGACUAGAGUGUGGUAGAGGGUAGUGGAAUUCCCGGUGUAGCAGUGAAAUGCGUAGAGAUCGGGAGGAACAUCCAUGGCGAAGGCAGCUACCUGGACCAACACUGACACUGAGGCACGAAAGCGUGGGGAGCAAACAGGAUUAGAUACCCUGGUAGUCCACGCCCUAAACGAUGCGAACUGGAUGUUGGGUGCAAUUUGGCACGCAGUAUCGAAGCUAACGCGUUAAGUUCGCCGCCUGGGGAGUACGGUCGCAAGACUGAAACUCAAAGGAAUUGACGGG
rnacentral:rRNA from 1 species